CAUGUUUUCAGCAAGCAGCAACUUGUGCUGCUGCUGUUCAACCGUUAGGAGAAGUUCAGUUGUUGGUUGUAGGUGCCAGCCCAAACCAGGCCAGGAAAAGCUCCAGGGAGGGAGAGAGGAAGCUAGGGAAGAGAGAGAGCUACUUGGGGAAUCCAAAGAAUUUGUGGAAGAAGGUUUAAAGUAAAGAGGAAGAGCAACUUGCUGUUGGGCUGCAAAACAGAAAUACAGAAAUUUCUGGUGCACCCAGGCUUCCCAGCGAAUUUCAGGAGGAGAAGAGAGUCCCGGAAGUGUGCCGGGAGUAUCAAGCACUAGGGUGGUGCGUUAGCCAUCACAAGAUCGGCAGAGUCAUAACAUUAUAAAAGUACCGCAUCAGCAUCAUCCUAGAAGUUUGUCAUAGAAGGUUGGCCAUGCCCCUCUGAGUGAAAGGAAAAACCUUUGUAUUAUGCAUGUAGGUGGGGUGUGAAUGUAACUUGAGUCAAAUGUAAAGUUUGUUAUAUUUUGAGCUAUGUAUAGUAGACUUUAAGUUAUAAAUGAAAGCUUGGGUUGCUUUUAGUUAUGAUUAAAGUGAGUUAAAUAAAUUAAACUGACAGGUUUA